GAUGAACGCUGGCGGCGUGCUUAACACAUGCAAGUCGAACGGAAAGGCCCAAGCUUGCUUGGGUACUCGAGUGGCGAACGGGUGAGUAACACGUGGGUGAUCUGCCCUGCACUUCGGGAUAAGCCUGGGAAACUGGGUCUAAUACCGGAUAGGACCACAUUUUGGAUGGUGUGGUGGAAAGUUUUUCGGUGUGGGAUGAGCUCGCGGCCUAUCAGCUUGUUGGUGGGGUAAUGGCCUACCAAGGCGUCGACGGGUAGCCGGCCUGAGAGGGUGUACGGCCACAUUGGGGCUGAGAUACGGCCCAGACUCCUACGGGAGGCAGCAGUGGGGAAUAUUGCACAAUGGGCGCAAGCCUGAUGCAGCGACGCCGCGUGGGGGAUGACGGCCUUCGGGUUGUAAACUCCUUUCGCUAGGGACGAAGCGCAAGUGACGGUACCUGGAGAAGAAGCACCGGCUAACUACGUG
rnacentral:rRNA from 1 species